rnacentral:ncRNA from 18 species
CUACGCCACCACGGCGCUAGGGUCUGUCGUCGCAUUCCCUAGGGGAGGAAGCCCGGUGUGAGUCCGGCGCGGUCCCGCCACUGUGAGUCCGUCCCAGGAGGGGCGGGCGAGUCAGGAACUCCCUUCCCCGUACCUCUCGGUC